rnacentral:lncRNA from 1 species
GGGUGAGGUUUCAGAUCCCGCUAACAUGUUAAACCUGCCACAUUCUCUAUGUAUGUGCCUGUCCCAAGUCAGGAGCAUGGAGUCAGUUUCACAAAAAAAACUUACGAGUAAGAUUGAUCGUGAGUCAUGAACAAUUCAGUAUACUUACGAUCAUUCUUAGUCGUAAGUUUUUUUGUGAAACCGACUCCUGUAAUUUAGUGGUUAUCGUUUGCUUAUGUGUUACAUAUUUGUUUUUGGUUAUUUUUUGUCUGCAUAGAUUAUGCCGUUGGUUAUCUCGUUUGAAUCGUUUGAAUUUUUAUUUCGGGGCCUUUUAUAACUGACAAUGCGGUAUAGGCUUUGCUUAUGUUGAAGGCCGUACGGUUGUUAAUUUCUGUGUAAUUUUGGUCUUUUGAGUGGAGAGUUG